rnacentral:rRNA from 1 species
AUACGAAAGGUGCAAGCGUUGUUCGGAUUUACUGGGCGUAAAGAGAUCGUAGGUGGUUUAUUAAGUCGGACGUGAAAUCCCGGGGCUCAACCCCGGAACUGCAUUCGAUACUGGUAGACUAGAGUUUGGGAGGGGUAAGCGGAAUUCCGUGUGUAGCAGUGAAAUGCGUAGAUAUACGGAGGAACACCUGAGGCGAAGGCGGCUUACUGGACCAAUACUGACACUGAGGAUCGAAAGCGUGGGUAGCAAACAGGAUUAGAAACCCCAGUAGUCC